UACGGAGGGUGCAAGCGUUAUCCGGAUUCACUGGGUUUAAAGGGUGCGUAGGUGGGUUGGUAAGUCGGGUGUGAAAUCUCGGAGCUUAACUCCGAAACUGCAUUCGAUACUGCCGUGCUUGAGGACUGGAGAGGAGACUGGAAUUUACGGUGUAGCGGUGAAAUGCGUAGAUAUCGUAAGGAAGACCAGUGGCGAAGGCGGGUCUCUGGACAGUUCCUGACGCUGAGGCACGAAGGUCAGGGGAGCAAACGGG
rnacentral:rRNA from 1 species